rnacentral:rRNA from 1 species
CCUACGGGUGGCAGCAGUGAGGAAUAUUGGUCAAUGGGCGCAAGCCUGAACCAGCCAAGCCGCGUGAAGGAUGACUGCCCUACGGGUUGUAAACUCCUUUUAUAAAGGAAUAAAGUGAGGCACGUGUGCCUUUUUGUAUGUACUUUACGAAUAAGGAUCGGCUAACUCCGUGCCAGCCGCCGCGGUAAUACGGAGGAUCCGAGCGUUAUCCGGAUUUAUUGGGUUUAAAGGGAGCGUAGGUGGGUUGUUAAGUCAGAUGUGAAAGGUUGCGGCUCAACCGUGCAAUUGCAAUUGAUACUGGCAGCCUUGAGUACAGUUGAGGUAGGCGGAAUUCGUGGUGUAGCGGUGAAAUGCUUAGAGAUCACGAAGAACACCGAUUGCGAAGGCAGCUUACUAAUCUGCCACUGACGUUGAUGCUCGAAAGCGUGGGGAUCAAACAGGAUUAGAUACCCUUGUAGUC